AGUGAACGCUGGCGGUAGGCCUAACACAUGCAAGUAGAACGGCAGCACAGUAAGAGCUUGCUCUUACGGGUGGCGAGUGGCGGGCGGGUGAGGAAUACAUCGGAAUCUACUUUUUCGUGGGGGAUAACGUAGGGAAACUUACGCUAAUACCGCAUACGACCUACGGGUGAAAGCAGGGGAUCUUCGGACCUUGCGCGAUUGAAUGAGCCGAUGUCGGAUUAGCUAGUUGGCGGGGUAAAGGCCCACCAAGGCGACGAUCCGUAGCUGGUCUGAGAGGAUGAUCAGCCACACUGGAACUGAGACACGGUCCAGACUCCUACGGGAGGCAGCAGUGGGGAAUAUUGGACAAUGGGCGCAAGCCUGAUCCAGCCAUACCGCGUGGGUGAAGAAGGCCUUCGGGUUGUAAAGCCCUUUUGUUGGGAAAGAAAAGCAGCAGGUUAAUACCCCGCUGUUCUGACGGUACCCAAAGAAUAAGCACCGGCUAACUUCGUG
rnacentral:rRNA from 1 species